UACGGAGGGUGCGAGCGUUGUCCGGAAUUACUGGGCGUAAAGCGUGCGUAGACGGUUACAUAAGUCGGGUGUGAAAGCCCCGGGCUCAACCUGGGAAUUGCAUUCGAGACUGCGUAGCUAGGGUGCGGAAGAGGGAAGCGGAAUUUCCGGUGUAGCGGUGAAAUGCGUAGAUAUCGGAAGGAACACCAGUGGCGAAAGCGGCUUCCUGGUCCAGCACCGACGUCAGGCACGAAAGCGUGGGGAGCAAACAGG
rnacentral:rRNA from 1 species